UACGUAGGGGACAAGCGUUGUCCGGAAUUACUGGGCGUAAAGCGUGCGCAGGCGGUUUUGUAAGCCAGAUGUGAAAUCCCCGGGCUUAACCUGGGAAUGGCAUUUGGGACUGCAAGGCUUGAGUGCGGCAGAGGAGACUGGAAUUCCUGGUGUAGCAGUGAAAUGCGUAGAUAUCAGGAGGAAUACCGAUGGCGAAGGCAGGUCUCUGGGCUGACACUGACGCUCAUGCACGAAAGCGUGGGGAGCAAACAGG
rnacentral:rRNA from 1 species